rnacentral:rRNA from 1 species
UACGGAGGGUGCGAGCGUUGUCCGGAAUCAUUGGGCGUAAAGGGCGCGUAGGUGGCGCGGCAAGCGUGCGGUGAAAGCUCGGGGCUCAACCCCGAGUCGGCCGUGCGAACUGCUGGGCUUGAGCACUGUAGAGGCAGGCGGAAUUCCGGGUGUAGCGGUGGAAUGCGUAGAGAUCCGGAAGAACACCGGUGGCGAAGGCGGUCUGCUGGGGUAAUGCUGACACUGAUGCGCGACAGCGUGGGGAGCAAACAGG